CCCGGGGCAUCAACCCCUGUCCUCAUCCCAAUCUCCCUCACCUGUAUGGCCCCAUUCCUUCCACACCCUGCCCCGUGUGGAGACUGAGCCAAUCACACCUAAUUAACUGCAGCUGGAAAUAACUGAAGAGGCCAGAGAUGCGCACAAAUACAAUAGUGAAUGUAGUCGGGCAAUUUAAUAGGGUCGGAAUACAAACCUGUGGAGGAAUUUGUUUUGAUGGAGAAUUUCAUCUCUCUGAGCACAAUAAGGCCAAGUCAGAUUCUACAGGGUAGUUGCUUUGACACUGGGAGUGAAUGUGUCUGGAAGCCCAGAAAAAAUCUGCUUCCAGUAUGUCAGACUAUUGAUUAUUUAGUGCACUUUUUUUUGACCAGGACCAAUAAACCGAAGGUUGUGUGUGUUCUCUUGAUUUUAGUUCCGAUGUUGAGUUUGACACAGGCGGGUGUGAUUAGGCUGAGGCAUGAUAGACCAAGUGGCCAGGUGAAUUGGCCAGGUAGAACUGGAGGCAAGGGAAGGACUGGCUUCAUGUCACGCCAAGGAAGACCCCACCUCCCUGAAGAAAGGCUUCUUGAAGAAUAUCCCUUGUUCCACGGUGGAGCGAUUGAUCGUGUCGAUAUGGGCCAUUUAAACCAAGGUUUUGAGGGAUUCGGCUCCUUUUCUCAGCCAAUUCUGCUGAAGAGGGAACACAUGGAUCGUGACCAGAGGAGCUUUGGUCAGUUCAACUCCAGCCAGUUCCAGUCGGGUCACUUCAACUCUGACACAGGUGGCUGCAGUGGAAUCCAGGGGAGGAGCUGCAGUCGUCGCGGCCAAUGUGCAGGAUGCCUGGGCCUCUUCACCUGUCACGUGGAACUCGGAAAGUGCCAGAUGAAAGGGCUUUCACAAAGGACAGAGAGCAAGUUCUUCCAGACUCUGAAUGAGGCCCAAAGCAGAUGAUUAAACCACCACCGCCAAUGAAGUUCCUGCUAUUGUGUGCCCCAUUGGUUAUGUAGUAUAGUGAAAAGAAUAUGCAUAGGAAGUUGUAUGUAGCGAGGUGGUCAAAUCUAUGUACUUCAAAUUAUAUUAAGUGCUUUUCAAUUAAAUUGAAUGUGGUUCACUUUUAGAAUAGAACCGCAAAGUACCCCAAUGCUGGUAUGUAAAUUUAAUUCCUUACCCAGUUCUAUAUAAUAUAUCACAUAAGUUGAAAAAUUAAAUCCAUUGCUGAUAAGUUUCAAUAGCAGAUUACUUUCACAACACCCAGGCACGUGUUACACAUUAAAAAACAGGCACCAAUUGUAAUAUUGCAUACUCAUGUCAUAACAUUUUUGGCAGAGCGCACCAGUACAUGUUCCCACCUAAAUGUUUUUGCAGCAAUGCAGAACAUGUGUGGAUCCAUUACAGUCACUUAAUGUGUAACAGAGUGUUAAUAAGUUGUUGGUAUGAUCCAAAACAUGUUUAAUCUAGCUACAAUAUAUCCAAACAGGAUGAUUCCACUUAUUUGCAUGUGAGGCUUAAACCAGUCCCUACCAUACACUCCAAUGUAUUUGUCCACUUUUCGAUGUUUCUAUAUUUCUGUCUAUGUCUGUGAAUGGUAUUAGCUCUUCAACCAAACAAUAAUAUUAAAUAAAGGGAACAUAAGCGAGGAAAUAAGAAAAUAUUUAUAUAUUGAUUCUAUUUACGUAAUUAACAAAGCAAUAACCAAUAAUCCCCUGUGAAAAAACGAUGCGACACCUUAAGCUGCCUAAACUAACACGUUCUUUAUUUGUCGUGUUUCACAUCACCAUGUUAGACUUUUUGCCAACUCUUCCUUGCAGAACACUGCUUGUUUCAUGUCUUGUCUCAACUGGGUUUAGCACAGGAAAUAGAUACGGUAAUUCCAGCUCUUUCAACUGGUUGACCAUUGUCUUGCUGCAUGAUCAUGAUACACUCCAACUCAUAGACUGUUGAGCUGACACUGUCUUUUAGAAAUAUCUGAUACAUAGCAGAAUUCAUGGUUCCUUCAGAGAUGGCAAAACAUCCCGUUAUCCCCUAUGCUAGCCUGGAUAAAGGUUGGAGAAUGUGGUAUUAGACUUGCUUGUCCAAAGUUCUGUUUAAUUUUGACGCAUCUUUCAAUUCUCUGUAUACACUCAGAGUCCUGAGCAGACAUUUUGAACAGUCUGGGUCCUAUUGUGUCAGGUCAAAACCAAACACUGCAUUCCACAGUAGUGACCCCUUAUGAAAGGUCAAGCAUGGAGAAGCAUGUUUUGGGGAUGAUUUCCCGUUUUGGGAUCAAUCUAUUAGUUCAAACUGUUUAAAAACAGUCAUCAAAAAUGUAGUUAGCAGUUUUUAAGAAUUUAGCUUGAAUUUUUAUUGCAAUUAUUUUUGAGGAAUCCAGUUUGAUAAGUUACAUUAUUUUAUGUCCCUCAGUGCCCCAGCCUGAUGGCUUGUGUUGUUCUUUAUUACUUUUGUGAUUUUAUAUUCAAUCUCCCUCAGAAUCAAUUCCAAUUUCUUGGAUACAUCCUUCUGGCCUCAGUGUGUCAUGUCCUGGCAGGGCAGGCCAGCUGUGCCAGUCAAAUCCAACUCAGUAAUGACCAACAACAAACACUAGGCAGGGAGGAUUUAAAUAGGGACAGUGGUCAGGAUCAGGAACAGUGAUGAGGACAAUAACAUAUACUGUGUCAGUGCCUCAUAAGUGUCUUUUAUUUUAGUUCCCUAUUGUUUGUUGUAGGUCCUUAUUUGGUUCUCGUGCCACUGCAACAUUGUUUUUGUGUGUAGUUUUGUUACCUUUUAGUGCAGGGACUACCUGAGUCUGCUUUUCAUCAAACUACUAAUUAGAAUCAGGUGUGCUGAAUAAGAGUUGGAGAGAACCUACAGGACUGUGGCUCUCCAGGAACAGGG
ensembl:lncRNA